rfam:Anaeroglobus geminatus F0357 genomic scaffold Scfld60, whole genome shotgun sequence.
UACUCAUCAAGAGCAGUUGAGGGAACGGCCCGAUGAAGCUGCGGCAACCUUCCGGACGGAAAGGUGCCAAUUCCGACGAUAUCACCGGUAUCGGCAGAUGAUAA